GAUGAACGCUGGCGGCGUGCCUAAUACAUGCAAGUCGAGCGAAUGGAUUAAGAGCUUGCUCUUAUGAAGUUAGCGGCGGACGGGUGAGUAACACGUGGGUAACCUGCCCAUAAGACUGGGAUAACUCCGGGAAACCGGGGCUAAUACCGGAUAAUAUUUUGAACUGCAUGGUUCAAAAUUGAAAGGCGGCUUCGGCUGUCACUUAUGGAUGGACCCGCGUCGCAUUAGCUAGUUGGUGAGGUAACGGCUCACCAAGGCAACGAUGCGUAGCCGACCUGGGAGGGGGAUCGGCCACACUGGGACUGAGACACGGCCCAGACUCCUACGGGAGGCAGCAGUAGGGGAUCUUCCGCAAUGGACGAAAGUCUGACGGAGCAACGCCGCGUGAGUGAUGAAGGCUUUCGGGUCGUAAAACUCUGUUGUUAGGGAAGAACAAGUGCUAGUUGAAUAAGCUGGCACCUUGACGGUACCUAACCAGAAAGCCACGGCUAACUACGUGCCAGCCGCCGCCGUAA
rnacentral:rRNA from 1 species